AAAUUUAACAGGUUUUUGAAUGAUAUUGAGACCUUCUGUGAACCAUGGCUCAGUGACAUUGAACUUGAAUGUACAACUGAAGUUGUACACCGUCAGGUCUCGCACCAUGGGAUCGAAUCCCCCAAAAGGCUUACACACAACACACUUACAAAGCAUACAAAUUACAUUAUGCAGCCAAAAACAAAACCAACAAGCAACACCAUUCCAUAAACUUCAUCCACAGCCAAUCAGAAAACUGCAAAGUCUACCCUUGAGCAUGCAUAGUUCCAAGUCAUUCAACAGAUCCAUGAAUCUGAUGUCACCCCUUUGCUCCAGACUAACUCUGUCACAACAUAACUCAGAACUGCAUUGUCAGUAAACUUGCAGUCUUUUCCCUAAAGAUAACAUCAUUCCAAAUGAACCAAACCACGGCAUAAGGAAGAAUGGACCAGACUUUCCCGCAAAAAUCUCCUUUGUUCAACUCCGACCAUUCUUCCAUACGCUUUUUCAAAGAUCUCAAGCUGCUGAAUAUUAAAAUCAAAUACAUUAAGAAAUUUAACAAAAAUAAAAGUAAAGAAGAAACCUCAGCAAGCCAGUGCGUUGCUACUCCUACUGCUGCUACUGUAAUUACCUGGAAGGCUCAAACCUUUAAUUUACUGUUGUUGCUUCCUGCUGUUGUCGUACACCUAUCAUCUUGCUUCCAUAAGUUUGUGCCACCCAGUGAGGAGACAUGCAACCCUUAUACUUUGUAUCAACUUAAUUGCAAACUGGCCUAUGUUCAGCUAGUUCUAAAUUACAGUCUUUACUUGCACCACAAUAUUUAUAUUCUCCAGGUCUCUGAAAUAAAACUAACCCGAAGGCAAACAUAAUGAAUAAAACUCCCAUACAACAAUGAAUAAAACUGAUACUUCCUGAAACGCAAUGAAAACAAACUACCAUAAAAUGGAUUGCGGACUAUUACCUAAAGAGUUGUCCUAACUUGCAACAUGUUAAUGUGAUGCCUAUGUACUCGAAAACAUCUACAGUAUUUAGACAAAAUUUAACUCCAAUACUAGGGUCUAAAUUCUCUUCACUACUCAAUUCCAAUAAUUAUUAACUAAUAUGUUAUUGUAGUAAGGAUACCAAUCAAAGCAGACUAUUUAAUAUAACCUGAUAUAGGAUGUAUCUUGAUAUCCAGUGAGCAAAAUAGGGACAAUAUAUCAAGGUAAAAAAUGUUAUGACUUCAUACCAGUAUUGUAGAUGAGAAUUGAUCGAAGAUAAAAACAGUUGAUCAUCCACCUCUUUGUGAUCAAACGGAUGUAGCUGUAUAGAGAUAACUUAAGAUAAAGGAACUUGGUUAAUGGUAUUUUUUUUUUUCUUUAUAAGGAAAAAUCUUGUUAAUUUGUAAAAAGGAUUACAAACUCUAGACAGCUUAUACAAUUUGGUGAAGGUCUAGAAAGGAUCAUUUCUGUAUUUUUCCAUAUAACCCAAAGAACCGCCGCAGGUAGUAGAUUCAAAAUCCACUAAGUAAUUUCUGGUCCUUGCUUCUCCAGCCACGCUACCAACUGAACUGUCUCUAUACAAAAAAUCUUUGAGUAAAUGUCUGGGGAGAAAUAAAAUCGUCCAAAUCUACAAAUUUUUUGUACAAUGCAGAAAAGUGAGUAGUGGAUUCAUUUGACAUCCCACACAUGUAACAGACUGGUGGCAGCGCUUUACCCAUUUUAAUGAGUUUAAUGUACAAAGAAGUAUCUUGAUAUUGAGGGGGGAAGGUCUGUCUCAAACAAUUUUAGUUGGGAAGUGUUGUAGUUGAGUAGAUGGGCCUGUGUUUAGUUUGCACAAUUUGCCAUACAUAGAUUUGACUGAAAACUGACCUGUUCACGACUAAUCUCUAUGUCCAUAAGUCAUCACCCUCCUUAACAGUUAUCUGAUGAAUUAGUGUAUUAAGGUCAGUCAUCUGUGGUUAAUAGUGUUAAAUUAGUUAUGUUCCAAAAUCAAAAACUGCAUAAGCAAAUUAACAAACUUUUAGAACUUCAAAAACCGUGUGAGAUAGAGAGAGGUAAAGUGUGAAACAGAGUUUGUGAGAAUUAAAAUAGUGUGACCGGGACAUAUAGGCCUCCAUUAUCAAUAUCACCUGUGUUGAUAUUAAAUACUCACAUUAUAGAUGUCCUUUGAAAUAGAUAAUUGCAUAUAAAUAUCAAAUUCUUUGAUCAUACAGGUUGAUGGAAAAUAGUGAUUAGAUUAAGGAUUAUAACACCAUGAUCGAGUAGAUAGGAGAUUGAUUGAACUUAGUAAAGAUCACACAAUAUUGAAAGUGCAUUACAAUUUAGCAUAACAAUAAAAAUAAACAAAAAGGAGGAAUAUUAGAAAUAGAUUGUGUAAGAAAAAAAAAUAGGCUCACGACUUAUUUGGGUUUGGGUCGAUUUUCUCUAAAAUGAUGAUCUGAAAUAAUAAUUCUGCCAACAAUAAUUUGGUGAUAGGGAUGAAAUGAUUCACAUUGAAUGAAAUUACAUAAAAACCAAGAUAUUUAAUCUACCUGUCAAAACCUCGUGCACAAAAUGAACCGAACAAAUUGCCACAAACUUAAAAUUAAUCCAUGGAAACAUGAAACCU
rnacentral:lncRNA from 1 species